UCGCUGCGCCGCGUACAAAUGCGGCCCUUCACCAGCACGGCCGUGACUCCCACUGCAGCGGCUGCCGCACCCGCCUCCUCAAUGUCCUCCCCUGCGCCCUUGAGGAAGGCGCAGGAGAGCGCGACGGGAUCCGCCGGGUCAUAUUUUUUAGGUUCCUCAACCUUUUCCGUCUACGAGGAGAUGGCGCGCCAGCUGCGCGAGGAGGGAUGGCGGCGCAAGACGGAGACAGCGAUCGCCACGGCGGACUUCAUCCUGGGCGAUCGCUUCCACAUUCCUUACACCCUUCUGCGGGUCGAGCGGAUGGCGCUGUCAUCGUGGUUUGGCGGGACACGGUGGGUGAACUACUUCGAGGGCUCACAUCGGCUGACGCUCAAGGCGGCGAUGGUACAGCUGAUGAAGGAGGUCGACACGCACUGGGCCAAGUGGUUGCCAGAGUCGUAUGCGAUUGGCGGGGACCAGCUAAAGAAGGCGGAUGAGCGGCGCGCGCUGCUGGAUGCGCUCGCGGCGGCAGGCGACGAUGAUGCCGUGUGGAUCGUGAAGCCCAGCAGCGGGGCGAAGGGCCGGCACAUUCUGCUGCUCCGCGCCUCCGCUGUACCGGAGUGGCUGGAGCGGCUGCCUGAGUGUAGCAGAUCCAUGUACGUGGUACAGCGCUACGUCGAUCGCCCGCUGUUGCUCAGUAACGGCCGCAAGUUCGACAUUCGCGUGUGGGCACUGCUGGUGAGUCCCUACAGCAUCUACGCCUACACACAAGUCAGCUGCCGCACCGCGAGUGAGCCGUACGACUUGUCAGAUAUCACCAACACCCACGCACACCUCACGAACCACUGCCUGCAGAAGGAUGCAGCGCAUUUUGGCGAGUACGAAGAGGAAAACGAGAUGUGGCUGCCGCAACUGCAGUCCUACCUCACCUCCAUCGGCAAGCCGGCAGAUCUUCUAGAGACCCGCGUGCUUCCCGCCAUCAAGGAGCUCCUCGUGCGCACGCUCCUCGCAAUGAUGCCGGAGAUAGCCGUUCCCGCGACGGAGGCGUACAAGUGCUUCCAGCUUUUCGGCUACGACAUGAUCCUCACGGAGGAGGCGGAGGUGCGGCUGCUAGAGAUCAACGGCUCUCCUGGCAUUGCGGAGCGCUUCCUUACCCCGCUGGUGCGGAGCAUGCGGGAGCUUCUCGGGGCAGGGCCAAAGGACGGCACAGGGUCGAAAACAGCCGCCUGCAACUCCGACGACACGUCUCAUGAGGGGUUUAGCGAGAACGGUAGCAGCAGCAGCAGUGGCUGCGCCAGCCCGGCAAGUACAUCCAACAGCUGCCCAGGGAGACGACGCACUUCGCGUGCUUUCUCAGCAGCGACGCCGGCCACAGGGGUUACGCGGAAUUGGCGGCUGGAGGACGAGGGCUUCGUGCUGCUAUGGCGUCGCGGCGAUGCGGUGCCACCUGGUUUGGUGGGUGUGUGCUAGCAGACGCGCUACAAUGUUGGCGAACUCUACGAGAGGGGAGGAGCGUGUUACUCGGUGCUGUGCUGACGCUCUCCUCGAUGCCUCUUUAUUUUUUCAUUCAUGUGAGGCGUGGCAUGAGAAGGGCUGCCUGUCUGUGCGGACGUGUGUGGGCGCAAACACCUGGCGGCCAUGAUUGUACCACUUUUCUUUUGAAUCGCUGCUGAGCGACAUACCGCAACGCGACUCCCGCGUAUCGUCAGCCCCUUCCCCCCUCUCCCUUUCCCCUUACUUCCGUCUCUGCCGUGGCCGCCAGCCUGCCUAAGGCGGCUAAUAGUUGAGGUGAAGGACGGCACGCGCAUGUCACCACCUUUCACGGUUCAGCACCUUCUUCCACCCUCUGCGGUCUGAUCGAGUCGCCUUUCACCGACUCCACUUCUCCACUUCUCCUCCCCACCGCCUCACGCCCUCCCUCCCACACUCCCUACCGAGUCGCAG
rnacentral:misc_RNA from 1 species